rnacentral:rRNA from 1 species
AGAGUUUGAUCCUGGCUCAGGAUGAACGCUAGCUACAGGCUUAACACAUGCAAGUCGAGGGGAAACGACAUCGAAAGCUUGCUUUUGAUGGGCGUCGACCGGCGCACGGGUGAGUAACGCGUAUCCAACCUGCCCACCACUUGGGGAUAACCUUGCGAAAGUAAGACUAAUACCCAAUGAUAUCUCUAGAAGACAUCUGAAAGAGAUUAAAGAUUCAUCGGUGAUGGAUGGGGAUGCGUCUGAUUAGCUUGUUGGCGGGGUAACGGCCCACCAAGGCAACGAUCAGUAGGGGUUCNGAGAGGAAGGUCCCCCACAUUGGAACUGAGACACGGUCCAAACUCCUACGAGAGGCAGCA